UAAGGAAUAUUGGUCAAUGGACGCAAGUCUGAACCAGCCAUGCCGCGUGGAGGAUGAAGGUCCUCUGGAUUGUAAACUUCUUUUAUCUGGGAAGAAAUGUAUUUUUUCUAAAGUACUUGACGGUACCAGAUGAAUAAGCACCGGCUAACUCCGUGCCAGCAGCCGCGGUAAUACGGAGGGUGCAAGCGUUAUCCGGAUUCACUGGGUUUAAAGGGUGCGUAGGCGGAUUUGUAAGUCCGUGGUGAAAUCUCCGAGCUUAACUCGGAAACUGCCAUGGAUACUAUAAGUCUUGAAUGUUGUGGAGGUUUGCGGAAUAUGUCAUGUAGCGGUGAAAUGCUUAGAUAUGACAUAGAACACCGAUUGCGAAGGCAGCAGGCUACACAAAUAUUGACGCUGAGGCACGAAAGCGUGGGGAUCAAACAGG
rnacentral:rRNA from 1 species